CUAGCAACACCGCGUGUGCGAUGAAGGCCUUCGGGUUGUAAAGCACUUUUUGGAGGGAAUAGGAAGGAAGGUACCUCCAGAAUAAGUCUCGGCUAACUACAUGCCAGCAGCCGCGGUAACACGUAGGAGGCAAACGUUAUCCGGAUUCACUGGGCGUAAAGCGCGUGUAGGUGGUUCUGUAAGUAGGGCGUGAAAGCUCCCGGCUCAACUGGGAGAGGCCGUACUAAACUGCAGAGCUAGAGGAUGGUAGAGGGAGGUGGAAUUCCAGGUGUAGUGGUGAAAUGCGCAGAUAUCUGGAGGAACACCAGUGGCGAAGGCGGCCUCCUGGACCAUUCCUGACACUCAGACGCGAAAGCUAGGGUAGCAAACGGAAUUAGAGACUCCGGUAGUCCUAGCCCUAAACGAUGCAGACUAGGCGUCGGCGGUUUAAUCACCGUCGGUGUCCAAGCUAACGCGAUAAGUCUGCCGCCUGAGGACUACGGCCGCAAGGCUAAAACUCAAAGGAAUUGACGGGUCCCCGCACAAGCAGCGGAGCGUGUGGUUUAAUUCGAUGCUCCGCGAAGAACCUUACCUGGGUUUGACAUAACAGUGGUAGAGAAGUGAAAACGGAUCGACCCUUCGGGGAGCUGUUACAGGUGUUGCAUGCCUGUCGUCAGCUCGUGUCGUGAGAUGUUCGGUUAAGUCCGCUAACGAGCGCAACCCGCGCUGUGUGUUACAAGUGUCACACAGUACCGCCGGUAUUAAGUCGGAGGAAGGUGCGGAUGACGUCAAGUCAGCAUGACCUUUAUAUCCAGGGCUACACACACGCUACAAUGGUCAGAACAAUAGGUUGCCAAGCCGCAAGGCGGAGCCAAUCCUCCAAAUCUGGCCUCAGUUCAGAUUGCAGGCUGCAACUCGCCUGCAUGAAGUCGGAGUUGCUAGUAACCGCAGGUCAGCAUACUGCGGUGAAUAAGUUCCCGGGGAUUGUACUCACCGCCCGUCAAG
rnacentral:rRNA from 1 species